rnacentral:ncRNA from 1 species
GAGGUGAAACACAAUAGGGAAUCCGGUGUAAGUCCGGAACUGUACCCGCAGCUGUAAGUUCCUGUAAAAGAAUUUUGUACUUCAAUGUCACUGGUUGAAACCGGGAAGGCGGCAAAAUUCGGAACAAGUCAGAAGACCUGCCAAAACAUGUA